rnacentral:rRNA from 1 species
UGCGUAGGUGGCGUGGUAAGUCAGAUGUGAAAGCCCGGGGCUCAACCUCGGAACUGCAUCCGAUACUACCAUGCUAGAGUACUGAAGAGGAAACUAGAAUUCUCGGUGUAGCAGUGAAAUGCGUAGAUAUCGAGAGGAAUACCAAAGGCGAAGGCAGGUUUCUUGGCAGUUACUGACACUGAGGCACGAAGGCCAGGGGAGCGAACGGGAUUAGAUACCCCUGUA